rnacentral:tRNA from 1 species
GGCAGUUUAGCUUAAUGGUAAAGCGCUCAGCUGGAGUCUUGAGGGAUAUGGGUUUGAGUCCCAUGGCAUUUU